rnacentral:rRNA from 1 species
UACGAAGGGGGCUAGCGUUGCUCGGAAUCACUGGGCGUAAAGCGCACGUAGGCGGACUCUUAAGUCAGGGGUGAAAUCCUGGAGCUCAACUCCAGAACUGCCUUUGAUACUGGGAGUCUUGAGUUCGGGAGAGGUGAGUGGAACUGCGAGUGUAGAGGUGAAAUUCGUAGAUAUUCGCAAGAACACCAGUGGCGAAGGCGGCUCACGUGCCCGAUACUGACGCUGAGGCACGAAAGCGUGGGGAGCAAACAGG